rnacentral:rRNA from 1 species
UACGAAGGGGGCUAGCGUUGCUCGGAAUCACUGGGCUUAAAGGGCGCGUAGGCGGACGAGCAAGUCCGGAGUGAAAUCCUCCGGCUUAACCGGAGAAGUGCUUUGGAUACUGCUCGUCUUGAGGGAGGUAGGGGCAUGUGGAACUUCUGGUGGAGCGGUGAAAUGCGUUGAUAUCAGAAGGAACGCCGGUGGCGAAAGCGACGUGCUGGCCCUCUUCUGACGCUGAGGCGCGAAAGCUAGGGGAGCAAACGGG